AACGAACGCUGGCGGCGCGUCUUAACCAUGCAAGUCGAGCGGCAGGCAGCAAUGCCGAGAGCGGCGGACUGGUGAGUAACACGUGGAUAACGUACCCCGAUGUCCGGGACAGCCUGUAGAAAUAGAGGGUAAUACCGGAUAGAUCACUGUUUACGUGAGGUAGACAGCGGGAAAGGAGCUUCGGCUCCGCGACGGGAUCGGUCUGCGGCCCAUCAGCUGGACGGCGGGGUAAAGGCCCGCCGUGGCGAGGACGGGUAUCCGGCCUGAGAGGGCGGACGGACACAUUGGGACUGAGAUACGGCCCAGACUCCUACGGGAGGCAGCAGGUAGGAAUAUUCCGCAAUGGGGGGAACCCUGACGGAGCGACGCCGCGUGAACGAAGAAGGCCGGAAGGUUGUAAAGUUCUUUUCUGUCCGAGGAAUAAGUUUCGGAGGAAAUGCCGGGACGGUGACGGUAGGGCAGGAAUAAGCACCGGCUAAUUACGUG
rnacentral:rRNA from 1 species